rnacentral:rRNA from 1 species
UACGUAGGGGGCAAGCGUUGUCCGGAAUUAUUGGGCGUAAAGAGCGCGUAGGCGGUCCGAUAAGUCGGCUGUGAAAGUCAGGGGCUCAACCCUUGAAAGCCGGCCGAUACUGUCGGACUAGAGUCCGGAAGAGGCAAGUGGAAUUCCCGGUGUAGCGGUGAAAUGCGCAGAUAUCGGGAGGAACACCAGUGGCGAAGGCGGCUGACUGGUCCGGUUCUGACGCUGAGGCGCGAAAGCGUGGGGAGCGAACAGG